AUGAGAACAUCAUUUACAAGAGCUGCUCCCAGCACCCCUCCAGCAGCUUUGUGCCACAUGCAGCUCUGCUUAGCUGCUUUCCCAUGGGGACUGUGUUUUUCCUACAUGCAAUCUGCAGCAGAGCGCAUCAAACCACUGUUUGGGUCAGACACCUCAUCUAAAGAACCUGCUCUUACUGAGGUGUCGCAUCCUUCCUGUAGUGUCAAUGGCAUGCCACGAAACUGUGAAGAUCUGCAGGUCUUCCCUAUCUACGGGAUCAUCUGGCAAAUACUUUUGCUUUGCUGGUUAUGCUAGAGACGUGCUGUUUCCAUUUCAUUGAACCUAUCAGAUCCCAGACUACUAGUUGUGGGUUUUUUUAAUUUCACUUUACACUACGGUUGGCUUGGAUCUGAAAACCUCAGUUAAAAUCUCAAUCUUCCUGUCUAUGCUGCCUGACACCAAGCAGGAAAGGCUAUUUCAGGCACUGUCAAGUAACGAUGGUGAAGACAGUCCUGAAUUCCUUGCUGAAAGCAGGCUCUAAGCCGUGUUGGUUGAAACCAGAGAAAUCUGUUAGAAAGCCGUGAGAAUUGUUUGCUGGGAAGCAGAACGAUAGGGGUGGGGACAAGGUCACAUAACCACUGCUGAUGUCUCAGUUCUCGAACUUUUGGAUGUUUGUGAACUCAAUAUAGAAAUCCAAGGGUCAGGUUCAGUGGUAAUAUGUGACGUGGGAGUGGUGGGCUGCUCUGCCAUGCCGUUGCUUUCCAGGUCACUAAAAUGAGCAGAGUCAGCAUGUGAUAGUGAAAGGGAGAUGAAUGCUAGAGCAUCUUUGUGUCCUAUAAAUUUGACUAGUUCACCAGCACUUCAUAAGCACAUGGUUAGUUCUCAUCUAAAUCAAAAACUAAUCACAGUUUUUCAGCUCCUUCCCCACUAUGCAUUGCAGUAGCUUCAGAGUCCUCAGUUCUAGAAACAGUUCUUAUCCUGGCCAUCCUGUGACCAAGGAGAGCAACGGAGCUGGUCUGGUAGGUUCCAGAUCCUAGCUGCUGGCCCAUGAAAGGGCAGAAAAGUCAAGCUUUACUUCAGAGAUCUUUAUUAGGCUACAGUUCUGAUUAGUUGUUGCUGAACAAGAAUACAAGGCUUAUUAGAAAAGUCAUCCUUUCAAAAUACCCCCAGAGCUGAGCAAGGUAAAAAGAGCAUCUACCAAACAGGGACAAUCAUCAACAUGUAGGCUGUUGGCUACAGCAUGCAGAAUAGAGGUACAUCCUGGUCCUGCUCCCUAAUAUUCUCCAUUAACAGCCCACAGGCAUCCUGGGGAAGGAAACAGAACAGACCAAAGGCCGGGGAACAGACAAAACAGGAAAAAGGACAAGCACUCAAGACCCCUUGCAAUGAAUCUGAUUUAUUGCAAUGCAUCCCACCUUCUGUCCAAAGCUUUAUCAAGUGCCCUCCUGACCCUCUGUCCCUCUUCCUCUCUGCUUUGAACCUGGUUGCCCUGUAUGUUGCCUAGCUGUGAGUUCUGUCUCAGCAUUCAUAACCAUCCCAUUUUAUCAAAAAUAAAUAAAUAAAUGAGCUUGUUCUUUAACCA
rnacentral:lncRNA from 1 species